rnacentral:rRNA from 1 species
AGAAUCAACGCUGGCGGCGUGCCUAACACAUGCAAGUCGAACGAGAAAGUGGAGCAAUCCAUGAGUAAAGUGGCGACCGGGUGAGUAACACGUGACUAACCUACCCUAAAGUGGGGAAUAACUCCGGGAAACCGGGGCUAAUACCGCAUAACAUCGGUGCUUCUCAAGAAGCGACGAUCAAAGCAGCAAUGCGCUAUGGGAGGGGGUCGCGGCUGAUUAGCUAGUUGGCGGGGUAACGGCCCACCAAGGCGAAGAUCGGUAUCCGGCCUGAGAGGGCGCACGGACACACUGGAACUGAAACACGGUCCAGACUCCUACGGGAGGCAGCAGUGGGGAAUUUUGCGCAAUGGGGGAAACCCUGACGCAGCAACGCCGCGUGGAGGAUGAAGCCCCUUGGGGCGUAAACUCCUUUCGACCAAGACGAUAAUGACGGUACUGGUGGAAGAAGCACCGGCUAACUCUGCGCCAGCAGCCGC